UAGCUCAGUCGGUAAAGAAUCUGCCUGCAGUGCAGGAGACCUGGGUUCGAUCCCCAG
rnacentral:tRNA from 1 species